GACUAAGGAUGGGGAGACGGUUCCCCGAAGGAUGACUCCCAGGGGAUUAAUAGGGAACACGGUGCGGACGACCCAACAGGGACCCAUUCCGUGGCUGCCCCCGCAACUGUAGGCGGAUUGCCGCCUGUCCUUAGGACGCGUCUUCGCGUCAUGCCACUGCGGUUCUCCCGCGGGAAGGCAGACAGGCAGCAGAUAUCCGUGAGCCAGGAGACCUGCCGUCGUCGAGCCAAUUUCC
rnacentral:ncRNA from 1 species